UGGGGAAUAUUGCACAAUGGGCGCAAGCCUGAUGCAGCCAUGCCGCGUGUAUGAAGAAGGCCUUCGGGUUGCAAAGUACUUUCAGCGGGGAGGAAGGGAGUAAAGUUAAUACCUUUGCUCAUUGACGUUACCCGCAGAAGAAGCACCGGCUAACUCCGUGCCAGCAGCCGCGGUAAUACGGAGGGUGCAAGCGUUAAUCGGAAUUACUGGGCGUAAAGCGCACGCAGGCGGUUGAUUGAGUCAGAUGUGAAAUCCCCGGGCUUAACCCGGGAAUUGCAUCUGAUACUGGUCAGCUAGAGUCUUGUAGAGGGGGGUAGAAUUCCAUGUGUAGCGGUGAAAUGCGUAGAGAUGUGGAGGAAUACCGGUGGCGAAGGCGGCCCCCUGGACAAAGACUGACGCUCAGGUGCGAAAGCGUGGGGAGCAAACAGG
rnacentral:rRNA from 1 species